CCUACGGGGGGCAUCAGUUUUUAAUAUUUUUCAAUUUUCUCAAUCCUGACCCCGCCCCGCCGCGUGAAGGAAGAAGGCUUUCGGGUUGUAAACUUCUUUUAAGAGGGAAGAGCAGAAGACGGUACCUCUUGAAUAAGCCACGGCUAACUACGUGCCAGCAGCCGCGGUAAUACGUAGGUGGCAAGCGUUGUCCGGAUUUACUGGGUGUAAAGGGCGUGCAGCCGGGAAGACAAGUCAGAUGUGAAAUCCCGCGGCUCAACCGCGGAACUGCAUUUGAAACUGUUUUUCUGGAGUACCGGAGAGGUCAUCGGAAUUCCUUGUGUAGCGGUGAAAUGCGUAGAUAUAAGGAAGAACACCAGUGGCGAAGGCGGAUGACUGGACGGCAACUGACGGUGAGGCGCGAAAGCGUGGGGAGCAAACAGGAUUAGAUACCCGUGUAGUC
rnacentral:rRNA from 1 species